rnacentral:rRNA from 1 species
AUUGAACGCUGGCGGCAUGCCUUACACAUGCAAGUCGAACGGUAACAGGUUAAGCUGACGAGUGGCGAACGGGUGAGUAAUGUAUCGGAACGUGCCCAGUCGUGGGGGAUAACUACUCGAAAGAGUGGCUAAUACCGCAUACGACCUGAGGGUGAAAGCGGGGUACCGUAAGGCCUCGCGCGAUUGGAGCGGCCGAUAGCAGAUUAGCUAGUUGGUUGGGUAAAAGCCCACCAAGGGGACGAGCUGUAGCUGGUCUGAGAGGACGACCAGCCACACUGGGACUGAGACACGGCCCAGACUCCGACGGGAGGCAGCAGUGGGGAAUUUUGGACAAUGGACGCAAGUCUGAUCCAGCCAUGCCGCGUGCGGGAAGAAGGCCUUCGGGUUGUAAACCGCUUUUGUCAGGGAAGAAACGAGUUUCUCUAAUACAGAGACUUAAUGACGGUACCUGAAGAAUAAGCACCGGCUAACUACGUGCCAGCCGCCGCGGUAACAC